rnacentral:lncRNA from 1 species
GUUUUUCCUCACAUGCUCUACUACAAGUUUAAGUGUUUUUUAUGUUUUUAUAAGACACUAUUUAUUAUACAUAUAAACAUAUAUUUAUAUAUUAUAUAUUAAUAUUAUUUCCAUAUUAUACUUUAAAUAGGGUAUAUAUUAUAUAUUAUAAUUAUGUAAUUAUAUAUUCACAUUAUUUUAUAUUAAAUGUGAAUAUAUAUAUUAUAUAAGACUUAGUAUAUAUAUUGUAUAUAUGACUUUAUACAUUUAUAUAUUUUUAAUAUUAUUUGUAUAUUAUAAUUUUAUAUAUCAUAUAUUAUAAUUAUAGAAGUAUAUAUUUAUAUAAAUUUUAUAUUAACUAUUUAUGUAUAUCAUAUAAGACAGUAAAUUUUUAUAAAUUUUUAUAAGACACUAUUGCCUAUGCUAGCAACAGUUUCUGACAGGACCCUGAUAUACCUGUCUCCUGUGAGGCUCUACCAGUACCUGGCAAAUCCAGAAGUGGAUGCUCAGUGUCAUCUAUUGGAUGGAACAUAGGGCCCCCAAUGGAGGAACUAGAGAAUGUACCCAAGGAACUAAAGGGGUCUGCAACCCAAUAGUAGGAACAACUAUAUGAACUAACCAGUACCCACAGACCUCAAGUCUUUAGCUGCAUAUUUAGCAGAAGUUGGCCUACUCGGCCAUCAUUGGGAGGAGAGGCUCUUGGUCUUAUGAAGAUUAUAUUCCCUAGUAGAGGAAAAUGCCAGGGUCAGGAAGCAGGAGUGGGUGGGUUGGGGAGCAGGGCGGGGGAAGGGUAGCCUUUUGGGAUAGCAUUUGAAAUGCAAAUAAAGUAAAUAUCUAAUUAAAAAAUAAAAAAUAAAUAAAAAAGAAUAAAUUUGCGUAGAACUCUUUAAACUGUAGUGUGAAUAUCAAAUCUUUCUUUGAAACAAUGCCAUCUUCCACGAAUUUUCAAUAAGUAAAAUGUGGAUGUUAAUGAAGAAUGUGUUCUUUAAAGGGACAGUGCUAAUGAUCAUAUUUCCAUGAAGACUGACUGAGGGAAGUGGUUGUUUUUGUUAAUGCAUUUUAGACCCAUUUGGUUUCCCAUUAUGUAAUGAGAAUUGAUAAAUGUGAAAUAUUUACUGUAGCUGCAAACACUCAAUUUUCUUUUUGAAAAGUCGUUUUCUAGAAAGCAGCGUAAUUAAAGCAUCUGCCUCUCAUUCUGUUUUCCAGAAUUUUCUGAGUCCAGGACCUCACUCAGAACUGCACACAGAGGGAAAACUCUGAAAGGAAUUAGGUUCAUGCAAAUGUCAGUAGUUUUCCCUAUCCCUUCCAUAACUACAAUAUGAAUAGCAUGUUGACAUAUCUACAAACUUAUUUUAUUUCAUUUUUUAUUUCUUAUUAUUUAAUCUUUUUUUAACAGUCUAGUAGUUAUCUCCCUCCUGAUCUGCUCUCCUGACUCUUUCUCAUCUAACAUCUCCUCCCAUAUUUCCAAGAUGAUAUCCUUACAUCCCCUACGCCCAGCCCUUCCCAAUCCCUGGGGAUUUAAGUCUCUCUGGGGUUAGGUGUGUCUCUCCCACUGAUGCUAGACCAGGCAGCCUUAUGCUGCAUAUUUGUUGGGGGCUUCACAUCAGCUAGUGUAUGAUCUCUGGUUAGAGGUUCAAUGUCUGAGAGAUCUUGUUUGUCCGGGUUUGUUGAGACUGCUGGUGUUUCUAUGGGUUACCCUCCUCCUCUCCUUCUUGCAACUAUUCCCAAUUCAUCCACAGGGGCCCCUGGCUGAUGUCCAUUGUUGGAUAUAAUAUAUUUGUAUUUGACAGCAGAAAAGGAACAUUUCCUCUUUAGACUAUUGGCCAAUAGCUUGAAGAACAGCUGAAAAAAUAGGCAGUAUUUUGUUAUGUGUGUGCUCCUACUGGAAAUCAGAAAAUGUAUUCUGAUUUCAUCUUUGUUGAUUAUUUAGUUAGUCUCUGUUUCUAAUUGUUUAUAUGAUUUGGUAGAUGGUUUCCAUGUGUAACCCUGUGUGUCUUGGAUCUCAUUUUUCUAUACAAAAUGAUGGAUUCAACUGCCUUAUCAACAUUUUUUUUGGAAGUUAACAUGGGGAAAUCUCCAUGAAAGCAAAAUGAUGAAUAAAAUUGUAAUAAUUAGAAAGAUUAGUUCUGUGAGAGGAAAUGAAGCAAGUGAAUGAGUGCAAGUUUUGUGGACUCUACACAGAAGUUCAGUAGAUAUGAUACUUAAUGACAUCACUAGAGCAACCAGUGAGAGUGAUUGUAAAACUAGACACAUUCACUAUAACCCAAUAUUUGGUGGGUAUGUACCAACUUUACAUUGGACACAAUUCCUGAAUUAUUCGUUCAGAAAUAUGAUUUUUCUUUGAUCUUUUGAGUAGAAUUUCUAACUUUGAUCUUUUGGGUAGAAUUUCUGUCUGGUCUCAUUAAAAUGAUAUAAAUCUUGGGUGCAAAAAUACAUCCAAGCAUUCCUGCACUGGAUGCCAAGAUGGAGAAGAUCUCCACAGCAACCAUGACCUUGCCCUUGGUGCUAUGGUAGACAGGGAGGAAGGUGACCCAGACACUGAAGAACACUAGCAUGCUGAAGGUCAAGAACUUGGCUUCAUUGAAUGUGUCAGGCAGAUUCUUGGCCAAGAAAGCCAAACUGAAGCUUCCCAGUGCCAGGCAGGCCAAGAAUCCAAGGACACAGUAGAAUGCAGUAACUGAGCCCUUGUUGCACACAAUGAUGAUGUGGCCAUGCUGAGAGUGUUCAUCAAUAUCAACAAAGGGAGGAGAAACUUCUAGCCAGAUAGCACACAGAACACAUUGGAGUAGGGAACAUAUGGGAAUAAUGUAGUUGGGUGUCCCUGAUACCAGGAAGUUUCUCAAUCUUCUCCCUGGGUCUGUGACUUUGAAAGCAAGAACCACAGUGACUGUUUUGGCCAGAACUGUGGAAACAGCCACAGUGAACACAAUUCCAAAUGUAAUUUGUUGUAAGACACAGGUGGCUCUGUUAGGAUGACCAAUGAAGAAAAAAGAGCACAGAAAACAGGACAUGAGUGAUAUCAAUAAUAUGUAGCUGAGGAUUCUGUUAUUGGCCUUCACAAUAGGAGUGUCAUGAUACUUCACAAAGACACAAAGUACCACAGCUGUGAAUGCAGAGAAACAGAAGGCCAUUAAGGCAAGUGCCAUCCCCAAGGGGUCUUCAUAGCUUAGGAAGGUGACACCUUUCUGAAUACAUUUGUUCUGUUCUGUAUUGGCAUAUUGGUAUUCUGGACAAUUCACACAUUGAUCCAUAUCUGAUUUCCAAAGGAAAGCUUAGUUAGGUCUGAUUUAGAAAUUUUAUUGACAAGGUAUUUCAAGUAAGGGUAAUGAGAGAAGCCUUGAAAUGCUGCCUUUGAUGCUGAGAAUGUAAUGUGAAGGAUAUUGCUGCUGAGCAUUGCUUUCAAUCCAUAAUGUCCAUAAAGAUUUAACGGAAAUAAAACCAAGCAAUUUUUUCUUUGUCUAGUUAACGUUUUGUAUCAUUUAUGAUGUUAUUAGAAAGGGGUUUGUGGAGUGUGGGCGUGACAGGGGAACCAAUCUCUGAGGACCAGCAUAAAGAAUAUAAACAGGUAACCUCAGGUAAUAGGAGGGUGCAUGGACCCACUAAAAUGCACCAGAGACUUGCGAGGUCAGAGACCCUAGAUGAAAUGUACUACAAUAGAUAGAGGG